CAGGAGUGCCAAGGCCAGGCCAGGCCAGGUCACCCCACGGGUCAGACAGGGAAUCAGGAACAGGAGCAGAUGAAAAGGGAACAAGCUGCUGCCAAGCCCCAGCUCGAGCAGCCGCUGUGGUCCCGCACAGACAGGCAGGGAGGGCACAGAGCCCUGCAGCCUCCCCACAGAGAGGCAGGGCACACAGAAAGGCAGGGCACACAGAAAGGCAGGGCACACAGCCCUGCCACCUCCCCAAGGCCACCACGGUGACAGCUCAGGAGGUGGAGAUCAAAGAGCAGCUGAGAAAUGUCGAGCCCCGAGCUGGAGGAGCACACGCUGCUGUCAGCACAGGUGGAGCAGCUCCAGCCCAGCCUUUGAUAAGCACAGCCCCGCUGGGAAAUGAGUUCAGAGCUCCCAUCCCAGCCAGGAACGUGCAAACACGGGGAACACGAGCCAAGGGCUGAGCUCCAGCACAGAAAUCAUCACUCCAGAUCAUUCCUAGUGUGUUUGGCACUGACCACACUGAGCCAAGGGCUGGCCCCAGGGACAAGAGGGGACCCCCAGCAGGCAGGAGCAGCCUUGGGGUCACCAGCACGGCACAGCCCUCAAUUCUGGGGCCAGAAAGCCAAGGGGAGCGUGUGGCAGGCACGCUUCCACCCAGCAGCAGGAGGGAUGCAGAGCAGGGAGGGAUGCAGCUCUGGGGCCAAGGAAGGAUUGGUCAGGACCAGUGACACAGAGCAGUGGGAAAAGAGAAAGGAAAGGUCAGGGAAGAGAGAGGACUGGGCUGGAUCGAUGCUGCAGGCAGAAAUACCUGGAAGGAGUAAACAUGGAGAGCAGGGAGGAUUUGCUUAGGCAAUCACGAGGGAGAAGAGCUAGAAAUGGGAUAGGAUUAAAGAGAAGUUGGGUUGAUGGGCAGGGGAAGAGCAUCUGAGCAGGCAAAGCUGCUGAAAGCCCCCCUCAGCACAGAGGCAAAAUGAGCAGAGCAGGGACCCUCAGCCCAGAGAGCUUCUCCUCAUUCCCAAAACUGCUGCUUGUCAGGCAGCUGGCAGGCCCUGGAGCAGCCUCAGGGGUGGCACUGUCCCCUCCUGCAGCCCACCCAGCCCUGGGUGUCACCAGGGAGGUUGGGUGGUCUGUCCAGCCAGGCACAGCCACGCUGGAUCCCAGUUUGGGGCUAUCCCAGGCUCUUCCACAGCCAGGAAGGAGAGCAGAGCUCGGGAUGAGCCCUGACCCAACCUCUCCCCUGCUAUGGCAAAUAAAACAACAGCCCCACAGCAGGGAAUGGCCACCACAGGAGCUCAGACACAUUUCCCAGACACAUUCCCCACAUUUCUGGGGUCACUGACCCCGCAGGAGCCCCCAGAAGCGCAGCAGAGCCCUGCAGGUUUCCCAGGAUGGGGAACAACCUCCCCCUGCCCUGCUCAGCACCAGCCUCCCCCUCCCAGCUGCAGCCAGAGCUCCGUGGGGAUCAGAGCUGGGCCACGGCUGCUGAUGGACAUCCAGGCUGAUGGGAGAGGCAGAGCAGGGCCUGGGCAGCAGCCCCCAGAGCUGGGCAUGCCAGGCUGCCCUCCUCCCCUGGGAAGGGCUGUCUCCCCUCGUUUGUCACAUCUGCAGCAGCCCCAGCCCUGCACACAUGUGGUGUUACAUAAAACCCAGAGAGCAGAGCAGCAGGGGAAUGCUGGCUCCAGCCAGCCUCACCUUCUCCUUCUCCUGCCCAAAACCCUCCCCAGAGCAGGGACAGCCUGGAUCACAGCUCAGUCUGCACAGAUCUGGUAGCCAAGGUCCUGCACAGGCACCUCCAGGAACACCCCAGGGACCCAGGGGCAGCCACAGCUCCUCUGGGCACCCUCUGCCAGGGCCUGACCCCUGGCAGGAAUUGGAGUUUCUGCCCAAGAUCCCAUCCAGCCCUGCCCUCUGGCAGUGGGAAGCCAUUGCCCCUGUCCUGUCACUCCAGACCUUGUCCAAAGUCCCUCUCUUUAGACACUGGAAGGGGCUGCUCUUCUCUUCUCUUGCUGGGUUUGGGCACACGUCCUCCCUCAGCCUAAAUCCCAGCCAAACCUGGAGAGUCACCUGAGCUCGGAGUCCUUCCCCAUUUGACUUUCACACAAACCUCAUAACCUGGUUUGUGCAAACUCUGCCAUUCCCAGCUUCCUGACCUACACCUAAAAUUAUUUCUCCUGAUGGGAAUACCCAAAUGAGGUUUCAAUGACAAAAGUUUAUAAACCCCCACAGGUUAUCUGGCACAGAGGUGUUUAAUGUUUAAAUCAUUGCCCUGGGAGCAGGGCUGGGUGAAGGCAGAGCCUGAGCUCGGCCCCCCUGCCCUCCCAGGGUCACCCACUGUCACCUGGGUCAGGCACAGCCUUCCAGGACACACAGCCAGCCCCAGCACUGCUAUUUCAGCUGAAUUACAGCCAGUUUUGUCUCAGCCCGACGCAGAAAUCCAAUUGCUCACAGUGCUAAUAUGAUUUGAUAAAUACUUUGAACCAACAUAACUUCAUUGCUGAGCUGCUGAUUCAAUCCAGGUCCCAAACCCAUCAUGACCUUGAUUUCAUGGCCUGAUCACAACCAGCCUUUAAUGAAAUUAUAGCACUUGAGCUUCCCUGGUGAUUGUUUAAUCUUAAUAUUGUUCUCAUUCUUCUUCAUCAGAGAUGUGAAGUGAGUGGAAUUGGUUUGUUCUCCUGGUUUUCAGCACGGGUCAAGCCCCAUCUCAGUCACUCCACGAGGAAGAUGAGGCACGUGAGGCUCCCAGCCCUCACUCCCAGUGUGGAACAGCAGCUCAGGGAAUUCCCAGGGAAUAAAAGCCUGGCUGAAUGUGACACUCAGCAGAACAACCCCCAGCCCCAGCAGGGCUCCUGCCCAGGACAGGGAGAGCACUCCUGCAGCCUCCUGGGGCUGGUUCAGAGCUGCCAGGAGAGCCUGGGCUGCACACCAGAGCUGUUUUAACUCCUCAGCCACCUCAUGCUGCAACACUCAUGGGAAAACUCCCCAAAAGCAGCAGGAGACGGGGGCCAGGUGAUGUGGGACUGGCAGAGCACCUGGGCCAGCUCUGUGCAGGCAGUGAGGGGCUGGUGCAGCUCAGGAGAAGCCUGAAAGUGUCUGUGAGCAUCACAGCCCCUGCAGCCCUGCUGCAGAGCUCCCCAGCCCUGCUGUGAGCAGGCCCUGCUGGAGGCCAGGGUCUGUGAAGGGGAACAGCUGAACAGAACAGGUGAGGUCAGGGCUGAACAGAGCAGGUGAGGGGUCUGGGCUGAACAGAACAGGUGAGGGGUCUGGGCUGAACAGAGCAGGUGAGGGGUCAGGGCUGAACAGAACAGGUGAGAUCAGGGCUGAACAGAACAGGUGAGAUCAGGGCUGAACAGAACAGGUGAGGUCAGGGCUGAACAGAACAGGUGAGGGGUCUGUGCUGAACAGAGCAGGUGAGGGGUCAGGGCUGAACAGAACAGGUGAGGGGUCAGGGAUGAACAGAACAGGUGAGGUCAGGGCUGAACAGAGCAGGUGAGGGGUCUGUGCUCCUGCCCUGGGCCCUGAGUGAUGCAGCAGGGUGGGAGCAAGCCAGGGGCUGUGCUCUGCCAAAAGCAGGGCCUGGGUGCCCCCAGAGCUGCUCUCCCUCUGA